UACGGAGGAUCCAAGCGUUAUCCGGAAUCAUUGGGUUUAAAGGGUCCGUAGGCGGUUUGGUAAGUCAGUGGUGAAAGCCCAUCGCUCAACGGUGGAACGGCCAUUGAUACUGCCAGACUUGAAUUAUUAGGAAGUAACUAGAAUAUGUAGUGUAGCGGUGAAAUGCUUAGAGAUUACAUGGAAUACCAAUUGCGAAGGCAGGUUACUACUAAUGGAUUGACGCUGAUGGACGAAAGCGUGGGUAGCGAACAGGG
rnacentral:rRNA from 1 species